UACAGAGGGUGCGAGCGUUAAUCGGAAUUACUGGGCGUAAAGCGCGCGUAGGCGGCUUUGCAAGUCGGGUGUGAAAUCCCCAGGCUUAACCUGGGAACUGCAUUCGAGACUGCAUCGCUAGAGUAUGGGAGAGGGAAGUGGAAUUUCCGGUGUAGCGGUGAAAUGCGUAGAUAUCGGAAGGAACAUCAGUGGCGAAAGCGACUUCCUGGACCAAUACUGACGCUCAUGUGCGAAAGCGUGGGGAGCAAACAGG
rnacentral:rRNA from 1 species